rnacentral:tRNA from 1 species
GCCUCGGUAGUUUAAUGGAUCAGCACAGCAGACCGGAUAUCUGUAAGUGCGUAUUCAAGUCACGCCUGAGGUU